UGGGGAAUAUUGGACAAUGGGCGAAAGCCUGAUCCAGCAAUGCCGCGUGUGUGAAGAAGGCCUUCGGGUUGUAAAGCACUUUAAGUUGGGAAGAAAAAGCUUUGGCUAAUAUCCAGAGCCUUGACGGUACCGACAAAAUAAGCACCGGCUAACUCUGUGCCAGCAGCCGCGGUAAUACAGAGGGUGCUAGCGUUAAUCGGAUUUACUGGGCGUAAAGCGUGCGUAGGCGGUUCGAUAAGUCGAUUGUGAAAGCCCCGGGCUUAACCUGGGAAUUGCGGUCGAUACUGUCGAACUCGAGAACGGUAGAGGGAGGCGGAACUCCAGGUGUAGCGGUGAAAUGCGUAGAUAUCUGGAAGAACACCGAUGGCGAAGGCAACCUCCUGGGCCUGUUCUGACGCUGAGGCACGAAAGCGUGGGUAGCAAACAGGAUUAGAUACCCCCGUAGUCC
rnacentral:rRNA from 1 species